rnacentral:lncRNA from 1 species
UUCUUUCUUGCUGGUAGUUCUAAAUAAAGAUAUAGAAUUCCAUUCUCAUGUAAAAAAUGCAUUUUUGAAUAAAAAAAAUUGUUAGAAUUCAUAUUUUGACUGUUGUGUAUUUUAUGGGGAAUUGUUGAUAUCCAAUAAUUCGAUCCUCCAAAUUUCCACCCUAAAGCACAACUUUUCCAUUAUUUUUUUGUUUUUGCUUAUAGAUUCUACUUAUAGGUUUUUCUUAUAGCUUAUGUUUUUGCUUAUAGCUUCUGAUUGUAGGUUUUACUUGUAGCUUCUGCUUAUAACAUCUAAUUGUUUAUAGCUUCUACUUAUAGGUUUUGCUUAUAGCCUCUAAUUGUUUAUAGCUUAUCUUUUUGCUUAUAGCUUCUAAUUGUUUCUAAUUUUGUUUAUAGUUGAUGUGCUUAAUUAUAUUCAUUUAUUGUUACUUUUGCAGAGUUUAGCAGCAAACUCCUAACUACAUAUUGAUGUGAAAAGAUGCAUGUCUUAAAAAUGAGGUGAAACUUGAGUUGCUGGAUAACUGUUUUGGUGGAUUCUUCAAGUCUUCUCUGCAAGCAGUUGUUGGAUAGGAAAUGCCUUGCGACAUAGAAUAUCUCUUUUCUUUGUUUAUGUGUUACUUGCUAAUUUGUUGUGUUGUAAAAGAACCCAUUCUCUGAGAUCUGAGAUUACAGUCUAGUGAUUGUUAUGAUUA